rnacentral:hammerhead_ribozyme from 2 species
AGGCGAAACCACCCGAGAGGGUGGUCGGACCGGGCGGUUCCCGGUUCCUGACGAUGCCAACCACUG